AACGCUAGCUACAGGCUUAACACAUGCAAGUCGAGGGGCAGCACAGUGUAGCAAUACAUGGGUGGCGACCGGCGCACGGGUGCGUAACGCGUAUCCAACCUUCCCGUUACUCAGGGAUAGCCUUCCGAAAGGGAGAUUAAUACCUGAUGGUGUUGAAAUUCCGCAUGUUAUUUCAACUAAAGAUUUAUCGGUAACGGAUGGGGAUGCGUGACAUUAGGUAGAUGGCGGGGUAACGGCCCACCAUGCCUACGAUGUCUAGGGGUUCUGAGAGGAAGGUCCCCCACAUUGGAACUGAGACACGGUCCAAACUCCUACGGGAGGCAGCAGUGAGGAAUAUUGGUCAAUGGGCGCAGGCCUGAACCAGCCAAGUAGCGUGAAGGAUGACUGCCCUAUGGGUUGUAAACUUCUUUUAUAUGGGAAUAAAGUUUUCCACGUGUGGAAUUUUGUAUGUACCAUAUGAAUAAGGAUCGGCUAACUCCGUGCCAGCAGCCGCGGUAAUACGGAGGAUCCGAGCGUUAUCCGGAUUUAUUGGGUUUAAAGGGAGCGUAGGCGGACGCUUAGGUCAGUUGUGAAAGUUUGCGGCUCAACCGUAAAAUUGCAGUUGAUACUGGGUGUCUUGAGUACAGUAGAGGCAGGCGGAAUUCGUGGUGUAGCGGUGAAAUGCUUAGAUAUCACGAAGAACUCCGAUUG
rnacentral:rRNA from 1 species